CGGUAGACAGGUGGUGCAUGGUUGUCGUCAGCUCGUGUCGUGAGAUGUUGGGUUAAGUCCCGCAACGAGCGCAACCCUCGUCCUAUGUUGCCAGCGGGUCAUGCCGGGGACUCAUGGGAGACUGCCGGGGUCAACUCGGAGGAAGGUGGGAUGACGUCAAAUCAUCAUGCCCCUUAUGUCUUGGGCUUCACGCAUGCUACAAUGGCCGGUACAAAGGGCUGCGAUACCGCGAGGGUGGAGCGAACUCCCAGAAAGCCGGUCUCAGUUCGGAUUGGGGUCUGCAACUCGACCCCAUGAAGUCGGAGUCGCUAGUAAUCGCAGAUCAGCAACGCUGCGGUGAAUACGUUCCCGGGCCUU
rnacentral:rRNA from 1 species